GACGAACGCUGGCGGCGUGCUUAACACAUGCAAGUCGAACGGUAAGGCCCUUCGGGGUACGCGAGUGGCGAACGGGUGAGUAACACGUGGGUGAUCUGCCCUGCACUUCGGGAUAAGCCUGGGAAACUGGGUCUAAUACCGGAUAGGACUCCUGGCUUCAUGGGUGGGGGUGGAAAGCUUUUGCGGUGUGGGAUGGGCCCGCGGCCUAUCAGCUUGUUGGUGGGUUAAUGGCCUACCAAGGAGACGACGGGUAGCCGGCCUGAGAGGGUGACCGGUCACACUGGGACUGAGAUACGGCCCAGACUCCUACGGGAGGCAGCAGUGGGGAAUAUUGCACAAUGGGCGCAAGCCUGAUGCAGCGACGCCGCGUGAGGGAUGACGGCCUUCGGGUUGUAAACCUCUUUCAGCUAUGACGAAGCGCAAGUGACGGUAGUAGCAGAAGAAGGACCGACCAACUACGUGCCAGCAGCCGCCGUAA
rnacentral:rRNA from 1 species